rnacentral:lncRNA from 1 species
CCUAUAGUUACAGUAGUCCAUUCAUGCUAGCUGGGAGUAUAUUGGACUUCAGUGUCUUGCUUGGGAAUUAUUAUUGUCAAGUCAGGUCUGCCUAAAUGUCCGUUUUUAUGGAUUUUUGACAAAACGGUGACCUAGAUUUUACAGACUAGAUUCCUAUUGGCCAUAUUAUACCUCGUUGUGUUCCUAUACCACCUAUGCAUGCAUAUAUGAUAAUAGUUUUUACCAACUGUCACUUCCAGUUACGUAGUGGCCAUCAAAAGAUGCCCACCCCCACCUGAUUUUGGCUACUUUUCAUGUUUUUCCGAUUUUGAACUCUUAAACGGCUUUCAAAGUGCCAAAUUUUCAUGAACAGACAUCUGAGAAGAGUUGAUGGACCAUGAACUGCUUGGUUGAAGUCCCUGCUAUCAUGACAG